UGCAAGUCGAACGAUGAAGCUUCUAGCUUGCUAGAAGUGGAUUAGUGGCGCACGGGUGAGUAAGGUAUAGUUAAUCUGCCCUACACAAGAGGACAACAGUUGGAAACGACUGCUAAUACUCUAUACUCCUGCUUAACACAAGUUGAGUAGGGAAAGUUUUUCGGUGUAGGAUGAGACUAUAUAGUAUCAGCUAGUUGGUAAGGUAAUGGCUUACCAAGGCUAUGACGCUUAACUGGUCUGAGAGGAUGAUCAGUCACACUGGAACUGAGACACGGUCCAGACUCCUACGGGAGGCAGCAGUAGGGAAUAUUGCGCAAUGGGGGAAACCCUGACGCAGCAACGCCGCGUGGAGGAUGACACUUUUCGGAGCGUAAACUCCUUUUCUUAGGGAAGAAUUCUGACGGUACCUAAGGAAUAAGCACCGGCUAACUCCGUGCCAGCAGCCGCGGUAAUACGGAGGGUGCAAGCGUUACUCGGAAUCACUGGGCGUAAAGGGCGCGUAGGCGGAUUAUCAAGUCUCUUGUGAAAUCUAAUGGCUUAACCAUUAAACUGCUUGGGAAACUGAUAGUCUAGAGUGAGGGAGAGGCAGAUGGAAUUGGUGGUGUAGGGGUAAAAUCCGUAGAUAUCACCAAGAAUACCCAUUGCGAAGGCGAUCUGCUGGAACUCAACUGACGCUAAGGCGCGAAAGCGUGGGGAGCAAACAGGAUUAGAUACCCUGGUAGUCCACGCCCUAAACGAUGUACACUAGUUGUUGGGGUGCUAGUCAUCUCAGUAAUGCAGCUAACGCAUUAAGUGUACCGCCUGGGGAGUACGGUCGCAAGAUUAAAACUCAAAGGAAUAGACGGGGACCCGCACAAGCGGUGGAGCAUGUGGUUUAAUUCGAAGAUACGCGAAGAACCUUACCUGGGCUUGAUAUCCUAAGAACCUUUUAGAGAUAAGAGGGUGCUAGCUUGCUAGAACUUAGAGACAGGUGCUGCACGGCUGUCGUCAGCUCGUGUCGUGAGAUGUUGGGUUAAGUCCCGCAACGAGCGCAACCCACGUAUUUAGUUGCUAACGGUUCGGCCGAGCACUCUAAAUAGACUGCCUUCGUAAGGAGGAGGAAGGUGUGGACGACGUCAAGUCAUCAUGGCCCUUAUGCCCAGGGCGACACACGUGCUACAAUGGCAUAUACAAUGAGACGCAAUACCGCGAGGUGGAGCAAAUCUAUAAAAUAUGUCCCAGUUCGGAUUGUUCUCUGCAACUCGAGAGCAUGAAGCCGGAAUCGCUAGUAAUCGUAGAUCAGCCAUGCUACGGUGAAUACGUUCCCGGGUCUUGUACUCACCGCCCGUCACACCAUGGGAGUUGAUUUCACUCGAAGCCGGAAUACUAAACUAGUUACCGUCCACAGUGGAAUCAGCGACUGGGGUGAAGUCGU
rnacentral:rRNA from 1 species